UACGAAGAGUGCAAGCGUUACUCGGAAUUACUGGGCGUAAAGCGUGCGUAAGUGGUUCGUUAAGUCUGAUGUGAAAGCCCUGGGCUCAACCUGGGAAUUGCAUUGGAUACUGGCGGACUAGAGUGCGGUAGAGGAUAACGGAAUUCCCGGUGUAGCAGUGAAAUGCGUAGAGAUCAGAAAGAACAUCUGUGACGAAAACGGCCAUCUGGACCAGCACUGACACUGAGGCACGAAAGCGUAGGAAGCAAACAGG
rnacentral:rRNA from 1 species